ACACUCAAUCCACUGAGCCACACUACCCAGGGCAAGUUUAUGAUGUUUCUAAUGACUUGACUACAUUGCCUCACGUGAUAAAAUAAUUUAUUUUAUUAUUAUCAUUGAUGCUGGGUAUAACUAGAAUUUAAAUCCCAAAAUCCAAAGAACUUCAGAAUCUAAUCUGUGUUCUUAAAUAGCAGCUGUAUUAACUUAUAAUUGCGGGUAUAUUUAGGGACUAAUAAGCAGUCCACUUUGCAGUAAGCAUAGGGUA